CAACUUUCAGCAACGGAUCUCUUGGCUCUCGCAUCGAUGAAGAACGCAGCGAAAUGCGAUAAGUAAUGUGAAUUGCAGAAUUCAGUGAAUCAUCGAAUCUUUGAACGCACCUUGCGCUCCUUGGUAUUCCGAGGAGCAUGCGCUGUGUUGAGUGUCAUG
rnacentral:rRNA from 1 species